GACGAACGCUGGCGGCGCCUAAUACAUGCAAGUCGAGCGAGCUUGCCUAGAUGAAUUUGGUGCUUGCACCAAAUGAAACUAGAUACAAGCGAGCGGCGGACGGGUGAGUAACACGUGGGUAACCUGCCCAAGAGACUGGGAUAACACCUGGAAACAGAUGCUAAUACCGGAUAACAACACUAGACGCAUGUCUAGAGUUUAAAAGAUGGUUCUGCUAUCACUCUUGGAUGGACCUGCGGUGCAUUAGCUAGUUGGUAAGGUAACGGCUUACCAAGGCAAUGAUGCAUAGCCGAGUUGAGAGACUGAUCGGCCACAUUGGGACUGAGACACGGCCCAAACUCCUACGGGAGGCAGCAGUAGGGAAUCUUCCACAAUGGACGCAAGUCUGAUGGAGCAACGCCGCGUGAGUGAAGAAGGGUUUCGGC
rnacentral:rRNA from 1 species